GGGAGAGCAGGAAAACGGGAGGAGAGGAUGAAGAAAAAUAGGGGUAGAGACCAGAGAAGGGGCAGAGUGCCUCGUUGUUGUGGAUGUUCAUGAGUGGUCGCCCUAGCGACAGCCCCUUGGCACGCUCCGGUUCGUCCACGAAUGUUUGGGAAAAGGCCACCCCGUAGGACAGGUUGUCUGAGCAGCCGGACCACUGGAAACCUGAGAGAGGAAGAGUAUUGUCUUAGAAGAAGGGGUGACAUUUGGACAAGGAGGAGAAAACACACUGCCGACAAAUAUUGGAACGGAGGCAAAUAAAUCAGAGCGAUGGCGAGGGGGGGGGAGAAGUGGUGAGGUAGGUGCAUGGGGAAAGAUGCUAUGGAGAGUGGAAGCGAUGGAGAGCGGUUGGUCUCUAAAUCUCCAGCGUACGUAAGAGUGAAUGUUUGGUGAAAGGAAAGUAAAAAAGUUUGGAUUUGGGAAUGAAAGAGGUAUAGUGAUGUAUACCAGAGAAAUGGCUGAGAAAGGGUAAAGGGCAGAAAAAAAAUA